rnacentral:rRNA from 1 species
AUGGCUCGUUUUCUUAGGCCGUCCAACUGCAUUGCCUACCUUCUCCUCCUCCUUGCCUUCUGCUGCUGCGGAACAGAACAGCGGAGAGUGGAAGCAUCCAACCGACUCACCCAACACCCAAGGAUCCUGACCACCGUCUCGGUGAUGAAACCAUCGUACCCCACGAUCACCACGCCCACUUCCGCAUCCUACGCUAUGCCGGCGUCCUCCAGGUUCCCGUCGCUGGCGGAUGCGAACGACGGCGGUGACGUCGGCGGAGGUGGCAUUGGCGGUGGCGGUGCUGCUGGUGGUGCCACCGGCGGUGGUGGUACUACUGGCGGUGGCGUGGGCGGCGGCGGUGCUACGGGCGGGGGAGCUGUCGGUGGCGUGGGCGGCGGCGGUGCUGCUGGAGGCAUCGGCGGUGGCGGUGGCGGUGGGGGUGGCGGGACGUGGUGCGUGGCGAGCCAGAGCGCGAGCACGUCCGCGCUGCAGGUGGCGCUGGACUAUGCGUGCGGCUACAGCGGCGUAGACUGCUCGGCCAUCCAGACAGGUGGGAGCUGCUUCAACCCGGAUACCAUCCACGACCAUGCGUCCUACGCCUUCAACAGCUACUACCAGAAGAACCCUCUCCCCACCAGCUGCGACUUUGGCGGCACGGCCACCAUCACCACCACCGAUCCCAGUUCAGGGUCGUGCCAGUAUCCAGCGUCAAGCGGCGGCGCUCAAGGGACCAUGCCCCCGCCAUCACCGACCACUCUGACGCCGACCACGCCGAUGACUCCGACGCCGAUGACCCCAUUCACCCCGACGCCAAUGACGCCGGACACCCCUAGCACCGGGACGCCUAUGUACGGAUCAAACUCGCCACCGGACUUCGGGUCGAUGUCCCCUCCAGGCCCAGGAUCAAACUCACCUCCGGACUACAGCGACGUCGGCGGCGCCCCGGCGACGGCGAUGGGCAGGGCAACGCUGGCUCUCGUCUCCAUCCUUGCCGCGACGCUAUCGAUGAGCCUCGCCACAUGA